GACGAACGCUGGCGGCGUGCCUAACACAUGCAAGUCGAACGAGGUCCAGGGGAGCUUGCUCCCUGACGACCUAGUGGCGAACGGGUGAGUAACACGUGAGAAACCUGCCUCGGAGUGGGGAAUAACUCGGGGAAACUCGAGCUAAUACCGCAUACCUUCACAUGAUCGCAUGGUCGAGUGAAGAAAGAAUUUCGCUCUGAGAGGGUCUCGCGGCCUAUCAGCUUGUUGGUGGGGUAACGGCCUACCAAGGCAACGACGGGUAGCUGGUUUGAGAGAACGAUCAGCCACACUGGGACAGAGACACGGCCCAGACUCCUACGGGAGGCAGCAGUGAGGAAUCUUGCGCAAUGGGCGAAAGCCGGACGCAGCAACGCCGCGUGCGGGAUGACGGCCUUCGUGGUUGUAAACCGCUUUCAGCAGGGACGAAAAUGACGGUACCUGCAGAAGAAGCCCCGGCUAACUACGUGCCAGCAGCCGCAGUAA
rnacentral:rRNA from 1 species